CACGUAGGGCGCAAGCGUUUGUCCGGAAUUAUUGGGCGUAAAGAGCUCGUAGGCGGUCUGUUACGUCUGCUGUGAAAACCCGGGGCUUAACCCUGGGCUUGCAGUGGAUACGGGCAGACUAGAGGCAGGUAGGGGAGAAUGGAAUUCCCGGUGUAGCGGUGAAAUGCGCAGAUAUCAGGAGGAACACCGGUGGCGAAGGCGGGUCUCUGGGCCGAAACUGACGCUGAGGAGCGAAAGCGUGGGGAGCGAACAGG
rnacentral:rRNA from 1 species